UACAGAGGUCCCAAGCGUUGUUCGGAUUCACUGGGCGUAAAGGGUGCGUAGGCGGUCGGGUAAGUCUAACGUGAAAUCUCCGAGCCUAACUCGGAAACUGCGUCGGAUACUAUUCGGCUAGAGGAAUGGAGGGGAGACUGGAAUUCUCGGUGUAGCAGUGAAAUGCGUAGAUAUCGAGAGGAACACCAGUGGCGAAGGCGAGUCUCUGGACAUUUCCUGACGCUGAGGCACGAAAGCCAGGGGAGCAAACGGG
rnacentral:rRNA from 1 species